AAGUGGAGGUGAGCUGUCGCGGGCGGCGCCCGGCCUUGCUCAACGCCCAGCAGUCCCCACCGUCGCUGCCGCCGCCACCGCCCUCGGCCGCUGCCGAGGCCUCCUGCAGCCAUCAUGUCCGCCAGCGCCGUCUACGUGCUGGACCUGAAGGGCAAGGUGCUCAUCUGCCGGAACUACCGUGGCGACGUGGACAUGUCGGAGGUGGAGCACUUCAUGCCCAUCCUGAUGGAGAAGGAGGAGGAGGGGAUGCUGUCGCCCAUCCUGGCCCACGGGGGGGUCCGUUUCAUGUGGAUCAAACACAACAACCUGUAUCUGGUUGCCACAUCCAAGAAGAACGCGUGCGUGUCGCUGGUCUUUUCUUUCCUCUAUAAGGUGGUGCAGGUGUUUUCCGAGUACUUCAAGGAGCUGGAGGAGGAGAGCAUCCGGGACAACUUUGUCAUCAUCUACGAGCUGCUGGACGAGCUCAUGGACUUCGGCUACCCCCAGACCACCGACAGCAAGAUCCUGCAGGAGUGAGUGGGCAAGGGUGGGGCCUGGGGCCAGGCCUGGGCGGUGUCAUGACAUCGACGUCAUCAGGUGUGGAAACAGAAGGGGCAAAUUUGUGUUCAUGUUGUCCCCCACCCGC
rnacentral:sRNA from 1 species